AUUGAACGCUGGCGGCAGGCCUAACACAUGCAAGUCGAACGAGUGGCGGACGGGUGAGUAAUGUCUGGGAAACUGCCUGAUGGAGGGGGGUAACUACUGGAAACGGUAGCUAAUACCGCCUACCAUACGAUGUGCCCAGAUGGGAUUAGCUUGUUGGUGGGGUAACGGCUCACCAAGGCGACGAUCCCUAGCUGGUCUGAGAGGAUGACCGGCCACACUGGAACUGAGGCACGGUCCAGACGCCAACGGUAGGCAGCAGUGGGGAAUAUUGCACAAGGGGAGAAAGCCUGAUGCAGCCAUGCCGCGUGUAUGAAGAAGGCCGUCGGGUUGUAAAGUACUUUCAGCGGGGAGGCGUUACCCGCAGAAGAGGCACCGGCUAACUCCGGGCCAGCAGCCGCGGUAAUUC
rnacentral:rRNA from 1 species